rnacentral:rRNA from 1 species
UUCCCCUAGUAACGGCGAGUGAAGCGGGAAGAGCUCAAGCUUAAAAUCUCUGUGCUAGAAAUGCAUGGCGAAUUGUAGUCUAUUGAGGCUGUUGUCAGCACAGCGACCUGGGACAAGUCUCUUGGAAGAGAGCAGCAUAGAGGGUGAUACUCCCGUCUCUGCUCAGGUCUGCUUGUGUGUACGAUACGCUUUGUUUGAGUCGAGUUGCUUGGGAAUGCAGCUCAAAGUAGGUGGUAAAUUCCAUCUAAAGCUAAAUAUAGGUGCUAGACCGAUAGCGAACAAGUACCGUGAGGGAAAGAUGAAAAGAACUUUGAAAAGAGAGUUAAAGAGUACCUGAAACUGUUGAAAGGGAAUCGUAUCGUUUCCAGUGUCUUAUCCUUUGCAUAUUUCAUUGGCGGAUGUGGGUGUGUAGUGUGCUUGUACUAGCAGUUCAUUCUGCAGUCUGCGUUCUACGCUGCUUAUAUUUGCUGGUGCCCUGUGCAUUGGUGUGACGUCAGAGUCAGUUUGUACGCUGCGGGAGAUGGUUGUCGAGGAGGUAUUUUGAACACAUUUGUGUUUGGAUGUUAUAUCUUGGCAUACUAGUAGUCGUGGCGGAGACUGAGGUGCCUACAACAUGCCUUGGGAGUCAUGUGGGGUCUGCUUUGAAUAAUUGUUUGGAUAGCUUGCUAUGCUUGUGAUUUAUUUGGGCGAUUGAUUC